UGGCUCAGUUGGUAGAGCAUGGUGUUUGCAACGCCAGCGUUGUGGGUUUGUUUCCCAC
rnacentral:tRNA from 1 species